GCACAGACCCCCCCCCCCCCCCCCCUCUGAUGCGAUUUGGCAGCACAACAACCACCCCGAGCCCUAGCCUGAUUCAUCACCGCCCCUUUUCUUCUUAAUCUGAUUCUGCUCAUCGCCAUCUCCCUCUGCUCUGAGGUGCCACCUUUGCUCGGGUUGGUUUCGGACAGGAGCAAGGAAUCCAAGCCCUAGUCUCACCCUCUGUUAAAUCUCCGGCAGAGAGGAAGAACUUGGCAUCGUUGAAGUUCUUUGCAGUGUCGACAAUAGAUCCUUGGCAGCAAUAUUCUUCGGCAAGCAAUUUUUGACAGCAACUACCUACUGUGGAUCAACAAGAGUGGUUUGGUGAAUUGAGGGCUUUGAUUUGAGGCGAGCAUCUCGACGUGAGGUCUAUUUUGGAGACGAUCUCCACUUUUUGUGGAGGGUUGAGGCCGUCAGGAGGUUUCAGUUGCUAGUCCCCUGGUCACGAGAGUUUACUUAUUAGUCUUGUGGUUUUCUGUUUAUUUCAG